rnacentral:rRNA from 1 species
CACUUCUAAGGAAGGCAGCAGGCGCGCAAAUUACCCAAUCCUGACUCAGGGAGGUAGUGACAAGAAAUAACAAUAAACCGGCUUAUGCCGGUUUAAUUGGAAUGAGUACAAUUUAAACAUCUUAACGAGGAACAAUUGGAGGGCAAGUCUGGUGCCAGCAGCCGCGGUAAUUCCAGCCCCAAUAGCGUAUACUAAAGUUGUUGCAGUUAAAAAGCUCGUAGUUGGAUUUCUGUGGGGACGGAGCGGCCGGCCGCACAUCGCGGUUCGAGCUAGCGCUUUCCCUACAUCCUGCCGCGAACCGUGCUACCAUUAAUUUGGUGGCGCCGGGGAUCGGCUCGAUUACUUUGAGAAAAAUAGAGUGUUCAAAGCAGGCCACACGCCUUGAAUAAGUUAGCAUGGAAUAAUAACUAAGGACUUCGGUUCUAUUUUGUUGGUGUUCGGGACUGAAGUAAUGAUUGAUAGGGACAGUUGGGGCGGUCUGUAUUCCAAAGCGAGAGGUGAAAUUCUUAGACCUUCGGAAGACAAACAGCUGCGAAAGCGUUCCGCAAGGAUGUUCCCUUUGAUCAAGAACGAAAGUUGGGGGAUCGAAGACGAUCAGAUACCGUCGUAGUCUCAACUAUAAACUAUACCAGCUAGGGAUCGGCCAACGUUACUCUAUACCGACUUGGUCGGCACCUUAUGAGAAAUCAAAGCAUCUGGGUUCCGGGGGGAGUAUGGUCGCAAGGCUGAAACUUAAAGGAAUUGACGGAAGGGCACCACCAGCCGUGGAGCCUGUGGCUUAAUUUGACUCAACACGGGAAAACUUACCAGGUCCAGACAUAGUAAGGAUUGACAGAUUGAUAGCUCUUUCUUGAUUCUGUGGGUGGUGGUGCAUGGCCGUUCUUAGUUGGUGGAGUGAUUUGUCUGGUUAAUUCCGUUAACGAACGAGACCCCAGCCUGCUAAAUAGCGCGCGUGAGCUUUGCUCGCGGCGAGCUUCUUAGAGGGACUAUGAUGCGCGAUAGCACAUGGAAGUUUGGGGCAAUAACAGGUCUGUGAUGCCCUUAGAUGUUCUGGGCCGCACACGGGCUACACUGGCGCCUGCAACGAGCAUAUCAGCUGGCCCGAGAGGGUCUUGGCUAAUCUUUUGAACCGGCGCCGUGCUUGGGAUUGACCUUUGCAAUUGUUGGUCAUGCAACGAGGAAUGCCUUGUAAACGCGAGUCAUCAGCUCGCAUUGAAUACGUCCCUGCCCUUUGUACACACCGCCCAUCGCUCCUACCGAUGAAUGUUCCGAUGAAAUUUUCGGAGAGCACCUGUGAACUUGGCUCUGCCUUGCGAACGGGAGGCUCAAAGUCACUUAAAUCUGAACAUUUC